rnacentral:lncRNA from 1 species
GUCCCGGCGCGCCUCCUCCCUCCGGGUAGGCGGGCAGCUCCGCGGAGCCCGGGCGGCGCCGGAGAAUCCGAGUUCGAGAGCCGGAGGGUCAAACCCGCGCAGCAGGGGGACUGUGCGGCGACACCUCACACAGAUAAACCCAAGGGACACCGCUGCCGUCCAGGAGAGUCUCCACUGAAACCAUCAGCGCUUCCCCUGUGGCUUUGUCCCCCGAAGUGAAAAAAUGGAGUUUUCGAUAAAUCCACAGCCAGAACCUGCGGGGAACUGAGUCCGGGGCUUCCCCAAGGAACAGGGAUGCCCGGACGAGGUGAGGAGGGGGCACAUGUAACCAGCUGUAAGAAGUCCAGAGGGCAAAGUUCAAAUGUCUUCUUGGGUGCUUUUAAGAAAAUCAGUAUGUGUAUGUGUUGUUUGCUUGAGAAAGAUGAAAUCCACGUUUCCUUCAAGUGGAGAGUAAUAAUGUGUAACUUUUCAGUGUUCUUAUGUUGCAAACUCUACCAAGCUCGUAAAAACAUCCUCUCUUCGUUAGUUUACCGUUCCUCUAUGUUAUGCGUUACAUUUGAAAGUACUUUCCUCUACUUUCCCGUUUCGUCACCUGGCAAGGACGCACUCUGCUGAAGCCAUGGACCUCUCGCUCCCCGGUGCAGUAUUUCUUCCUUUCUCUCCUGGAGGAGCCGGUUAGAGUUUGCCAAUAUGGAGGAAUGAGAGAGCUUUGUUUUAUCUGCCCGUCAGCAGGAGGUGGCAAGACUUUCAAGGGUAUUCUUUCCCAAAGGCUCUCGAAGUUAACAGGGGUGAUUAUGUCUCCCUCCUGGAAGCUGACACUAGCACUAAGAACCCAAUCAACUACUGGAUGGAAGUGGUCAUCUCUUCUACUAAGAUAAGUGUUUUUUGAACCUUAAUUUUUUAAACACGAAUGUAGUAAUUUUUUUUUUUUUAAACAUGAAGAAUUUUUUUUUUUUUUAAGAUUUUAUUUUUUUCUUUUUC